rnacentral:rRNA from 1 species
AUACGAGGGGUGCAAGCGUUAAUCGGAAUUACUGGGCGUAAAGGGCACGCAGGCGGUUCUGUCAGUCAGAUGUGAAAGCCCGGGGCUUAACCCCGGACGUGCAUUUGAAACAGCAGGACUUGAGUAUGGUAGAGGAAAGCGGAAUUCCUGGUGUAGAGGUGAAAUUCGUAGAUAUCAGGAGGAACACCGGUGGCGAAGGCGGCUUUCUGGACCAAAACUGACGCUGAGGUGCGAAGGCGUGGGUAGCGAACAGGAUUAGAUACCCGAGUAGUCC